GUACAUGCCGUAUUAAGGCGAAACCGCGAAUGGCUCAUUAAAUCAGUUAUGGUUCCUUGGAUCGUACCUUACUACUUGGAUAACUGUGGUAAUUCUAGAGCUAAUACAUGCAGCAGAGCUCCGACCUUCGGGGACGAGCGCUUUUAUUAGACCAAAACCAAUCGGACUCUGUCCGUCUCUUGUGGUGACUCUGAAUAACUUUGGGCUGAUCGCACGGGCCCGUCCCGGCGACGUAUCUUUCAAGUGUCUGCCUUAUCAACUUUCGAUGGUAGGUUACGCGCCUACCAUGGUCGUAACGGGUAACGGGGAAUCAGGGUUCGAUUCCGGAGAGGGAGCCUGAGAAACGGCUACCACAUCCAAGGAAGGCAGCAGGCGCGCAAAUUACCCACUCCCAGAACGGGGAGGUAGUGACGAAAAAUAACAAUACGGGACUCUUUUGAGACCCCGUAAUUGGAAUGAGUACACUCUAAAUCCUUUAACGAGGAUCCAUUGGAGGGCAAGUCUGGUGCCAGCCGCCGCGGUAACUCCAGCUCCAAUAGCGUAUAUUAAAGUUGUUGCGGUUAAAAAGCUCGUAGUUGGAUCUCAGUUCCAGACGGGUGGUCCGCCUACCGGUGGUUACUGCCUGUUCUGAACAGCCAGCCGGUUUCUCUUGAUGAUCUUCACCGGUUGUCUUGGGUGACCGGCAAGUUUACUUUGAAAAAAUUAGAGUGCUCAAAGCAGGCGCGACGCCUGAAUAAUGGUGCAUGGAAUAAUGGAAUAGGACCUCGGUUCUAUUUUGUUGGUUUUCGGAACACGAGGUAAUGAUUAAGAGGGACAGACGGGGGCAUUCGUAUUGCGACGCUAGAGGUGAAAUUCUUGGACCGUCGCAGGACGAACUACUGCGAAAGCAUUUGCCAAGAAUGUUUCCAUUAAUCAAGAACGAAAGUUAGAGGUUCGAAGGCGAUCAGAUACCGCCCUAGUUCUAACCAUAAACGAUGCCAGCCAGCGAUCCGGCUGUGUUCCUCAAAUGACACGCCGGGCAGCUUCCGGGAAACCAAAGCUUUUGGGUUCCGGGGGAAGUAUGGUUGCAAAGCUGAAACUUAAAGGAAUUGACGGAAGGGCACCACCAGGAAUGGAGCCUGCGGCUUAAUUUGACUCAACACGGGAAAACUCACCCGGCCCGGACACAGGAAGGAUUGACAGAUUAAGAGCUCUUUCUUGAUUCUGUGGGUGGUGGUGCAUGGCCGUUCUUAGUUGGUGGAGCGAUUUGUCUGGUUAAUUCCGAUAACGAACGAGACUCUAGCCUACUAAAUAGACGUUCCGAUCACUCCAGUCGGGCG
rnacentral:rRNA from 1 species